UCUGGGCCUGGGGGCAGUUCCCUUCCUUGGUUACAACAGAUUCUUACCCCGCCGUGCCCUACAGCCCGCCCCGCGAGGAACGGGCCCAGGAGUGGACGGGUGGAUAGGCAUUCCGGUGUCUCGAGUCGGGGCCAGCCUGAGCAGCACCACUCGCGUGGGGCACACAGGGCAUACAAGGCAGGCACCAGGCUCCAGAACAGCAGCUGACAAGUCUUCCGGCGGCGUCGGGUCUCCAUGGGGACGGGGGCGGGGCCAGGCGGCCGUGAUGGGGUUGGGGCGGGGCUUUUCAACUGUAAACGGCCCCGCCCAGCCUGGGCAAAGAGACAUAGCCUGGCCUGGAAGACCGAGUCAGGGACCCCCAGGCAGAGGCUGACCCCUGCUGGCGGCCGGGGCCUCCUGCCUCCAGGUGCUGCUGCCCCUACACGGACGGGCGCCCUCUGCGGGUCCCGCGACUCCCCGCUCAGCGCCUCCAGAUGCCUCACCCGGGCCCACUCCGCUGGGUCCCCAGGGACCUUAAAGCGCUGGCCCAGCAGCGGGGUCACUCCCAUAAGCCUCCCGACCCUCCCAUGGGUCCUUUGGAGCCCUGGAUUGUGAAGCUGAUACUUCCUCAGGGCCGCGCGCCCGGACGCGGCUGCUCCAGGACCACAGCUGACUGAGUGCGGCCGCGUCCCCUGCAGGCCACCCGUCAAGGGCACAGGCCACAGGAGCCCCAAGGCGCAGUGGCUCACCCUGCCCGGAGCUGACCCUUGAGGUGGGGAGAGGGCACUAACUCGGGUCCUCUCCCCUUCCUCAAGGCUCCUUCCUCCCCUGGGGUGAAGGGCUCCCAAUCCCAGCACUUUGGGGCCGUCCUGUUUAAUUCAUGCCCACAAAUGAUCAUGCAGUAUGCUGGGACAGAGAAGACAGGCACGCUGGCCUCCGAGGGCUCUCGAUGUGCGAUGUUCUUUCGGUGGCAGUACUGCAGUGCCUACAGAAUCUGCCUGAACGUGGUCCAGGCCUCCUCCUCCUCGAUGUGGCCAUGGUGGCAUAUCUGGUGGUGCAGCUCUCCUCCUCCAGUGUACUCCACUGCCAAAUGGACAGUGUUUGCUGUGUCAGUCACCUGGUAGAGUUGAAUGAUGUGCAGGUGAUUGAGGGUCUUCAUGAUACUUCUCUCUCUCUGGAGAGUGAUGCUGGGGCAGCCAUGCUUCUUAGAGAUGAUUUUGAUGGCCACCUGGGUCCCAGUUAGCAUAUGCUGGGCCAGUUUGAGGUCACUGAAUGUGCCCCAACUGAUGGUCUCAAAAAUCUGUACUUUUGGAUCUCCUCAUCAGGUGAGUUUGAGGCCAAGCCCAGCUCCACAGUGCCUCCUAACUAUGCUGACUACAAAUCAACCUCUACCAACUCUUCUAACUAAUGAGAAACACUAAUUAUACUUCCUAGGUUGACAAUACUAACAAACCACACUAAUUAUACUAAAUACACUAGUAAUACUAUAAUAACUGUGCUAAAGUACUAAGCAAUGAUACUGAAUAUACUAACUACACUAAAAUACUAAGCAACUAAACGGACUAUAAACACUACACGAGAAUACUAAGCAAUGAUACUGACUUACCGACUAUGCUAAAACACUAAGCAAUCAUAUUGACUAUACAAACUAUGCUAAAAUACUAAAAACCAUACUGACUAUGCUAAAAGACUAAGUAACAAUACCUACUGUACCGACUAUAAUCAAAGAUGCUGAUGUUACAGACAAAGAAACUAAGGAACAAUAUUGACUACACUACACUAACAGUACUACACGAUGAUACUGAGUGUGCUGACUACUACAAAAUACUAAGCAACAAUAUAGACUAUAGUGAUCACAAUAAAAUACUAAGCAACCAUAUCAACGAUACUGACUACACUAAAAUAUUGAGCAACCAUAAAAACUUUGAUAAAAUACUAAGCAACCAUGCUGAUUAUGUCAAGUACACUAACAAAACUAGGCAAUAAUAAUGACUAUUAUAACUAUGCUGUAAUACAAGGAAAUAAUACUGACUAUAAUAACUAUUCUAAA
rnacentral:lncRNA from 1 species